rnacentral:rRNA from 1 species
AACUUUUAAGUCAAAAGGCUUAAAUGUUUAUAAAAGACGAGAAGACCCUAUAGAUCUUUAUUUAAUUAAAAUUUUAAUAAUUUAGGAUUAUUUUAAUUUAAAUUUUUAAUUAAAUUUUAUUGGGGUAAUAUAAAGAUUAAAUAAAUUCUUUUUAUUAAUUACAUUGAUUUAUGAAUAUAUGAUCCAAUAUUAUUGAUUAUAAGAUUAAGUUACCUUAGGGAUAACAGCGUAAUUUUUUUGGAGAGCUCAUAUCGAUAAAAAAGUUUGCGACCUC